UACGUAGGGGGCUAGCGUUGUCCGGAAUCAUUGGGCGUAAAGAGCGCGUAGGCGGCCAGAUAAGUCCGGUGUGAAAGUCACAGGCUCAACCUGUGAAUGCCGCUGGAAACUGUCUGGCUAGAGUCCGGAAGGGGCGAGUGGAAUUCCUGGUGUAGCGGUGAAAUGCGUAGAUAUCGAGAGGAACACCUGCGGCGAAGGCGGGUUGCUGGGCUGACACUGACGCUGAGGCGCGAAAGCCAGGGGAGCGAAUGGG
rnacentral:rRNA from 1 species